GAUGAACGCUAGCGGCAGGCUUAAUACAUGCAAGUCGAGGGACAGCACAGGUAGCAAUACUGGGUGGUAACCGGCAAACGGGUGCGGAACACGUACACAACCUUCCUUUAAGUGGGGGAUAGCCCAGAGAAAUUUGGAUUAAUACCCCGUAAUAUAGUUGAGUGGCAUCUUUUGAUUAUUAUAGCUACGGCGCUUAAUGAUGGGUGUGCGGCUGAUUAGAUAGUUGGCGGGGUAACGGCCCACCAAGUCUACGAUCAGUAGCUGAUGUGAGAGCAGGCACAGCCACACGGGAACUGAGACACGGGCCCGACUCCUACGGGGGGCAGCAGUAAGGAAUAUUGGUCAAUGGACGCAAGUCUGAACCAGCCAUGCCGCGUGAAGGAUUAAGGUCCUCUGGAUUGUAAACUUCUUUUAUUUGGGACGAAAAAGGGCCUUUCUAGGUCAACUGACGGUACCAGAUGAAUAAGCACCGGCUAACUCCGUGCCAGCAGCCGCCGUAACAC
rnacentral:rRNA from 1 species